rfam:Brassica oleracea var. oleracea cultivar TO1000 chromosome C7, whole genome shotgun sequence
ACGAGGAAGAGCGUAGUAAGCGACGAAAAUGCUUCGGGGAGUUGAAAAUAAGCGUAGAUCCGGAGAUUCCGGAAUAGGUUAACCUUUUGAACUGCUGCUGAAUCCAUGGGCAGGCAAGAGACAACCUGGUGAACUGAAACAUCUUACUAGCCAGAAGAAAAGAAAGCAUAGGU